GGGGGGCGGACUAUGAGAGUGUUUUCACGUGACGUCACAAUUUUGAUAUCGUUUUAUAAUUAACAAUACAUCAGUGAGUUUUGUACUUCUAAUAGUAUCUGGAGGAUCACAAGCUCUAAUCAUGCAACCCGUUAUCGUAAAAAACAUCAUUGUUCGUGAUAAAUUUCACUUGUAAAUGGUGAUUGAGUCCUGCAAUAAAUCUUGGAUCUGUGCGAUUGUCAUUUGCGACUCAGCUAAUAAUGUGGUUUAUCCGAUUUCCCUAAGGAUCGCUCAAGAAGAAAUAUUUGGGAAAGAACUUGUCAUCAAAAGGGACGCCUUGGAAAUAAUCCCAGAAUUUGUGAAAAUCAUUUGAAAAAAAAAAACCAAACAAUAAGAAGCUAAAAUCUCAUUCAUAUUUCGUAAAGGUGAUGAAAGGAGGACUUGAAAAAUAUUUACUAAAGGUUCAAAGUAAAUUCAUCGUCAGCGGGAAGAAUCUGGCAGAUUUAAUAAAGAGAAUAUUAUUCAGGGACUGGUACUCAAGUUUCUCUCCUCAAAAGGUAACAGAUACAUUCAGUCAAGUGACCUUCUUCCUGUUCUUUGUUUGUCAACAAUAAUAAGGUGAAUUCGAAAUUUUAAAACAAUCUAUCAUUAUCGAAAUUGUGUCUUAACAAUUUAAAUCCUGAAGUAAUAAUUUUAUCUUUCAUACAUUUUAUUUGAUAUAAAUUAUCGUUAUAAUUUAUUGUUUGUUAAUUACGUUUUGGCUUGAAAUGCUUAAAUUAAAUAUGAUGUGACUUGCAUCGAUCAUCCUCAGAUUCCCUUUGACAUAUCACUGACUUUUUGGUCAUCAUAUCUUGAGACAGAUUAACACCGAAGUCUACUGUAGUCCUAAGAACUCAGAGGCUAUUGUAUAAAUUGGAUAACGCUACAGAUACUUUUUUUAGUAUUCCACAAGUUAAUUUAUAUAAUAAUUGAUGGUCAUAUUGGAGAUAUGUCCAGCUCAUAUAUCUAUGAUGAUGUCAAGUUGUAAGAAGUCCCAUUUUAGAACUCUCGGGAUUCAUAGUGCAUCAGUGUGAUAAAAUUCUCAACUCCUAAGUAUUUACCUAACCAAUAAUACAGUUAUCAUUUCAUAAAGUAUAUUGAAAAAGAUAAAGAAAAAGUAUAUAAUUUGUAAUAAUUUAUUUUGUGUACAUCUUUGCAUUUAUUUGACAUUCCAAGCAGUUUGUUCUAUGUAUAAUAUUAAGGGCCUUUACUUUAAUAACCCAUAUAUCUUAGCAUUAUUUUAAUAUAUUCACUUUGUAGAAUUUAGCUCUUCACAUCGGAACAUAAAUCUUAAACUAACAAAUUCUAUAUUUUUAGAUUAUAUUUAAAAAGUUGUUAAGUUUUUUUUUUUUAAACUGAAAAGCAUUUUUGUCUUAAUUAUAAAGAUCAAUCAAUUUAUAAUUAUACGUUUAACUCAAUUGAUGAAUUGCAUAGCUGUGCCGUCACGCUACAUCGACAAAGGCAAAAAGGGAAAACCGUGGUGAAAGACACUCAUCAGUCCAAAUAUGCCUAAUUGACAUACCCUUGUAUUUCAAGUUACCUUGAUAUCUUCUGUGUUUCAAACCAACUCUAUGAGUAAAUAAAUGUGGCUAUGCUGACUCCGAACUCGCUCAUCAGCCAUAAUUAUUACUUCAUGGUAA
rnacentral:lncRNA from 1 species